UAAUUUCACCUUUCUUCGAAA
ensembl:piRNA 21ur-9353 ncRNA